rnacentral:rRNA from 1 species
AGCGAACGCUGGCGGCAGGCCUAACACAUGCAAGUCGAACGGAUCCUUCGGGAUUAGUGGCGGACGGGUGAGUAACACGUGGGAACGUGCCCUUUGGUUCGGAACCACUCAGGGAAACUUGAGCUAAUACCGGAUGUGCCCUUCGGGGGAAAGAUUUAUCGCCAUUGGAGCGGCCCGCGUCUGAUUAGCUAGUUGGUGAGGUAACGGCCCACCAAGGCGACGAUCAGUAGCUGGUCUGAGAGGAGGAUCAGCCACACUGGGACUGAGACACGGCCCAGACUCGUACGGGAGGGAGGAGUGGGGAAUCCUGCGCAAGGGGCGAAAGCCUGACGCAGCCAUGCCGGGUGAAUGAUGAAGGGCGUAGGAUUGUAAAAUUCUUUCAGCGGGGACGAUAAUGACGGUACCCGCAGAAGAAGCUCCGGCUAACUUCGUG